UACGUAGGGUGCAAGCGUUGUCCGGAAUUAUUGGGCGUAAAGAGCUCGUAGGCGGUCUGUCGCGUCGGCUGUGAAAACCCGGGGCUCAACCCCGGGCCUGCAGUCGAUACGGGCAGACUAGAGUGUGGUAGGGGAGACUGGAAUUCCUGGUGUAGCGGUGAAAUGCGCAGAUAUCAGGAGGAACACCAAUGGCGAAGGCGGGUCUCUGGGCCGAUACUGACGCUGAGGAGCGAAAGCGUGGGGAGCGAACAGG
rnacentral:rRNA from 1 species